ACACCGGCAGCUCAAGUGGUAGCCGCUUUUAUUGGGCCUAAAGCGUCCGUAGCCGGUCUGAUAAGUCUCUGGUGAAAUCCCACAGCUUAACUGUGGGAAUUGCUGGAGAUACUAUCAUGACUCGAGGUCGGGAGAGGCUGGAGGUACUCCCAGGGUAGGGGUGAAAUCCUGUAAUCCUGGGAGGACCACCUGUGGCGAAGGCGUCCAGCUGGAACGAACCUGACGGUGAGGGACGAAAGCCAGGGGCGCGAACCGGAUUAGAUACCCGGGUAGUCCUGGCCAUAAACGAUGUGGACUUGGUGUUGGGAUGGCUUCGAGCUGCCCCAGUGCCGAAGGGAAGCUGUUAAGUCCACCGCCUGGGAAGUACGGCCGCAAGGCUGAAACUUAAAGGAAUUGACGGGG
rnacentral:rRNA from 1 species